UACGUAGGUGGCGAGCGUUGUCCGGAUUUACUGGGCGUAAAGGGAGCGUAGACGGACUUUUAAGUGAGAUGUGAAAUACUCGGGCUCAACUUGAGUGCUGCAUUUCAAACUGGAAGUCUAGAGUGCAGGAGAGGAGAAUGGAAUUCCUAGUGUAGCGGUGAAAUGCGUAGAGAUUAGGAAGAACACCAGUGGCGAAGGCGAUUCUCUGGACUGUAACUGACGCUGAGGCUCGAAAGCGUGGGGAGCAAACAGG
rnacentral:rRNA from 1 species